UACGUAGGGGGCAAGCGUUGUCCGGAAUCAUUGGGCGUAAAGAGCGUGUAGGCGGCCAGAUAAGUCCGCUGUGAAAUCUCGAGGCUCAACUUCGAGCUGUCGGUGGAAACUGUCUGGCUAGAGUCCGGAAGAGGAGAAUGGAAUUCCUGGUGUAGCGGUGGAAUGCGUAGAUAUCGGGAGGAACACCAGUGGCGAAGGCGGUUGCCUGGAGCUUUGCUGACGCUGAUGCGCGAAAGCGUGGGGAGCGAGUCCGG
rnacentral:rRNA from 1 species